CUGUUAAUCAGAGAAUUCAUAGAGUUUUUAAUGUGGUAGCAAUAUUUUUCCUAAAGCAAGAUGAUCAGUAACUUGUUUGCUUUACAAUUAUUAGAAACUGCUGUUUGCCUGCCUUAUGAUGAGUAAUAAUGAAGCGGAUUCAACUUCCCUUUUCCAAAAAUGCAGGUUCUUGUUAAACCUUUGGGAGACCGAGGAUACCUUUUUCUUCUCUCUCCUUGUCAAAUGGUUUCUCCAUAUGAACAUCAAACUGCCAAAUCUCGAGUCCUACAUGCUUUAUUUCUAUUUCAAGAACCUAGAGGCAUAGUUACUUAUCUCCAGUAGGCAGAGAGGCAGGCAGAG